AAUUCUUAGUUGUAUCAGCUAAUCGAAGACAAUAAUGUUACCUAAAGAAUUGUUGAGUAAGCUUUGCUGGAAGGUAUCCUAUAGAAGCACUGAUAGCGAGCAUUUGCAUCAUAAGGAAUGUAAAAAUUGCAGAUUAACUUAUGUUGAUGUGGGAUGUUGAUGGUUGCAAAGAUUGCAUCCAAGUACUUUAGACAAAUUGAAAGAGCAGGAACUUUGUGACAAACGGAAAGGGAACACAGACAGAAGGAGAUAGAGCAGGAAAGACAACAUGUUUGAGAAAAAGAAUAAAACUGAAGUUGUUUGUUGAGGUGUUUGAUAGAAAACUUGAAUAGUUGAAUAUAUAAAAGAAAACUAACCAGCUUUGUUGGAGUCAUCCGGAUUAUGAGAUGUCAAUGAAGGAAGAAAUAGUCCCAAAAAACACUACACGAACAACAGCUCUAGCACCAUUUUUGGACCUCAAAGAUUGUACCUCGUGAUCCUUUCCGUUGUAUCCUACAGAUACUUUUAAUUCAGGAACUGCUAUACAUGGUUUUUUGUAUUUUUCCUUAUGUCCAUGCUUAUUUUUUUGAAUGAAAAUGUUUAGAAAAACGAUACACUAUUUUCUGAAUUCAAAAACAUAAAAAGGGGUUGAUUGUAAAUCUGAUGUGAGCAUAGAAACACCUGUGUGAUAAUAUGUAAGAAUAUGUAUAGAUAUAUAUGAAGAAAACACGAAUACAUAUAUUGCCAUAUGGGUGUUUGCUUGAAAAAUGUUUUGGCAAAAGUCUUGAGGGGUAAAAAUGGGUUAUCUUCUGAUCGGAAAAUGGGCUGAGAUUAAUAUAUGCACCUAAGUGACCCAAAAGUCCUAUCUUAGCUUUAGUAUGUAGCCAGUUCUUAUGUUUUUGCAAUGGUGUUGUCUAUGCUUCAUUUUUAUAUAUAACAACUAGACAAAACAAAAUUUGGUCAGCUGGUAUAGUUUGAAGUAUAAUCAACAAAUUUCAGUUAUAUAUAUAUUUCUGUUUGAAGUUGUCCCUUGGUUCAGGUUGCUGGUUGACAACUUCUUGUAUAAUGGAUCAAAUCUGCUUAAUAGCAAUCAUGCUGAUAAAAUGUCCACCAUAAAUCAAGAUAUCUCUUGAAAGAGAUGAAGUUGAAUCAGGAAAAGAUAAACGUUUUAGUUUGAGCAUAGAAGGGAUUCAUGUUUAAUGCAUUAUUUAGAUAUAUAGAGAUAGAUACGGAAAUUAUGACAGUGGAAGAGUUGAGAAAGGAGGAGAAGAAGAAGAUAUGUUGGUGCAUGCUGUUGAUGAUGAUUUGAGUGGUAAGGAUGGUUUAAACAACGGGGUUGUGGAGAAAGAAAGUGGGUCUCUGUUGAUCAGGGUGUGGAAGAUGUCGAUUCAGUUGAUAAAGUUGUUGUUUUGGAAAGAGUGGAGGUGGCGGUGGUCGAAGAAAAUGUGGCGAGUAAUGUUGCCAUUUGGUCUGGAGAUGAUAAGAAGUCUAGGAAUGGGAUGGUGGUAGAGGAGACUAAGUAGUGUAUUGAAUGAUUGGGGGAAGAACUUUGAUGGGUAUGUUCACUCGUGUUGAUUUAGCACCAGCGUAAGUUUUUAUUUCAUGUAAUUGCAAAUAUUUUUAUGCAUUCUAUGGAUACAUAAGCUUGAAGUGCUAGAUAAGGUAAAAGUGUUACAUUUUUUUAAUUGGAUUAUUAGCUAACAAUGAAACUGCCUGGGAGUUUACUUAAUGUAUUUGAACAAGGGAUAAUGUAUCAUAUUGAACUUUUAAACAAACUCAGACUAUUUGUCGUUUUAACUCUUUUGUAAUGACAAAUUUAGUUGUUUC